rnacentral:lncRNA from 1 species
CAAGGAUAUAUAUUGUAACCCUGCUUAUUUAACUUAUAUGCAGAGUAUAUCAUUUGAAAUGCCAGGCUGGAUGAAUGACAAGCUGAAAUUAAGAUUGUUCUGAGAAAUGCCAACAAUCUCAGAUAUGCAGUGCAUACCACUAAUGGCAGGAAGUAAAGAGGAACUAAAGAAACCCUUGAGGGUGAAAGAGGAAGGUAAAAAAAAACUGGCUUAAAUCUCAACAUUCAAAAAACUAAGGGUAAAAAAAACUGGCUAAAUCUCAACAUUCAAAAAACUAAGAUCAUGGCAUCUGACCUGAUCACUUCAUGGCAAAUAGAAGGGGAAAAAGUGACACUGACAGAUUUUAUUUUCUUUGGCUACAAAAUCAUUGUGGAUGGUGACUGCAGCCAUGAAAUUAAAAGAUGCGUUCUCCUUGAAGAAAAGCUAUUAGAAACCUAGGCAGCGUACCAAAAGCAGAGACAUCACUUUGCUAAAAAAGGUCCAUCUAGUCAAAGCUAUGGUUUUUUCCAGUAGUUGUACACAGAUGUGAGAUAUGAAGCAUAAACUGUAAGAUUUGAAGCAUAAAAAUACUUUGCUGACAAAGGUCCAUCCAGUCAAAACUAUGGUUUUUCCAGAUGUCAUGUAUGGAUGUGAGAGUUGUGCCAUAAAGAAAGCUGAGUGCUGAAGAAUUGAUGCUUUUGAACUAUUUCCAUAAUCUUUGUGGUGUUGGAAAAGGCUCUUGAGAGUCUGUUGGACUGUAAGGAGAACAAACCAGUCAAUCCUAAGGGAAAUCAACCCUCAAUAUUCAUCGGAAGGCCUGAUGCUGAAGUUGAAGUUCCAAUAUUUUGGCAACCUGACGCAAAGAACUGACUCACUGGAAUUGACCCUGAUGCUGGGAAGAUUUGAAGGCAAAAGGAGAAGGGGACAACUUAGCACACAGCCUUUUAGCUCACCUUUGCCACAAAAUUUUCUUCAGACAGGAGGGAAAAAAAGGAUACCUUCAUCAUAAUGAUGUACUGUUGAUUCUGUAUCUAAAAUCAUUGUAAUUCUGGAAGUUGCUCUAAGGUUCAAUGGAUGUUUGCCAGAAUUUUAGUCUGUGAGAGCUAAGUACUUCUUGUUAUAUGGAGUGAGCGACACUCCCUGCAUGGAAAUAAGUUUACUCUCUUUACCUACCUAGAACUAAAAUCUAGAAGGAAAAAUAAAAGCUCCUGCUAUGCAUGCCAAUAGUUUCUGUCUGCAUCUCUUGCCUUCAGGUGUGAGUAGCAUGAUGUAUGCAUACAAUAUUGAAUAAAUACUUGUUGAAUGCACUGAAUGAAUAAGUGUAUGUGCCUGAAAUAAUGGGAAUAAUUUCCAUAAAUUACCUUCAGAAAUGUUUAUUUAUUUGUGUUAUGCUGAGACAACAUACAAGCAAAAACAGUCUCAUCUGUAUUCUUUCCUUUUGGAAA